rnacentral:misc_RNA from 1 species
CGCGAAUGGAAGCUCUAUGAUUAAAAGGUGAGCACGGCUAAUGAGGCUUAUUGCCUGUCUGCCGUGCCAUUUAGGCUUUAUUAUCUUACACUUAAAGAGUUGGCNNNNNNNNUAGUUGUAUAAAAAUGAACAGUAAAUACUAUGGUAUUGGUAUCAUUCAAAAAAUAGCUGACCCAUAAAUGCACUUCAAUUGUUCUGCU